rnacentral:rRNA from 1 species
AGAACGAACGCUGGCGGCAGGCCUCAAACAUGCAAGUCUAGGGGGUGUAGCAAUACAUCACCGGCGGACGGGUGCGUAACGCGUGGGAAUGUACCUACUGGUUCGGAACAACUGCGGGAAACUGCAGCUAAUACCGAAUGUGCCCGCAAGGGGAAAGAUUUAUCGCCAGUAGAUCAGCCCGCGUAGGAUUAGCUAGUUGGUGGGGUAAUGGCCCACCAAGGCUCCGAUCCUUAGCUGUUCUGAGAGGAAGAUCAGCCACACUGGGACUGAGACACGGCCCAGACUCCUACGGGAGGCAGCAGUUGGGAAUCUUGGACAAUGGGGGAAACCCUGAUCCAGCCAUGCCGCGUGAGUGAUGAAGGCCUUCGGGUUGUAAAACUCUUUCGACGGGGACGAUAAUGACGGUACCCGUAGAAGAAGCUCCGGCUAACUUCGUGCCAGCAGCCGC